AGGACGGAGUAGGACUAGAGUCGGGGCGCGACAGCACGUGCCCCAGCCCGGGGCUCCAGCGUCACGUGACAGAGUCCAGAAGCUGCUGCAGGGCAGCCAAAAGGAAGGUUAGGACCCCUUGCUGAGCAGACCAGCUGGGGUGUGCGGAGGCUGGAUCAGGGACCAGAGCCCGAGCCGGAGCCCAGGCGGCAGGUGCUAUACCACUCGGCCGCAGCAGAGUUGCUGAGCACAGUGAUGCACGCCUGUGAAUACCAGCACUAGGGAGGCUGAGGCCAAAGGAUUGCCACAGGUUCAAGGCCAGCCUGCUUUGUGAUUUCAAGACCAGCCUGAACUACAUAGCAAGAUCCUGUCUCCAAGAAAACAAAAACAACAACAACAAAAACCCACAAAGCUGGCCAACUAUGACUCUAGGAUAAAUAAGACUGUCUCAUUUGAGAACCUGUAGAAGCCAGGUGUGUUUCAGGUACAUGUGAUUACCCAUGGCAACUGAGUCACAUAAAAGUUUGCGGUGUCAGGAAUUUAGAUUCCAUACUUACCCAUUUUGGGAGGAACUUUCCCCAGGUUUUGUAGUUCACUGACCAUCUUUCCUGGCACUUCUUAGUGGUAUACAGAAUCGUCUCAAGUUCGAGGCUGUUUACAUAGUGAAUUCAAGGCCAGCCUAAACUGCAUAGUAACAUCGUUACAAAAGAGAGAGAUUAUCUUCAAAUGAACUUGUCUUUUUUUUUUUUAAUUGGUACCAGUGAUCAAACUCAUGACCAUGUGCUUAUAAGGCAGGUGCUUAUGCUGCUGAACUAAAUCCCCAGCCCAUCUUCUUCAAAUGAACUUAAUCUAGAACCCAAACCCAGCUCUACUUGUAGGAUAGGCAUGACCAGUUCAGCUUAUGUAUCAGGCAAGAACCUGGGUUCAAUUCCUGCCAAGCAUGGCAAAAUCAAUUAUGAUCUCCCAAAUAUAUUCCCAGCAGAUUUAAAGCCCCUUCACUAGUUUUUCACUGACUUAACGUGGAUGCAUAAACUAGCACUACACUGAUUGGCAAGGUCUUCCCAUCAUGUUAAAGAACCAAUCCCUCCUUGUAAACUCUUUCAAUUAACUUUAUUGAAUAGCCAAAGUGAUAAGUUAGCACGGAUCAAACAACUGUUUGCAUGGGUUAAAAAUGACUUUUUUUUACAGGAAUAAACAGCGAAAAUUACAAACCGUAAAAAGGAAGAAAAGUCUUGUCUCAUUUCAGAGAACAAGAUUGAACACAGCACACUGGAGAUCAAUACAUAUUUGAAUUUGAGAACAAGAAUUUAAUGUUACAAUAUUAUACACUACUUUACAAAAUUAAAUUUUCUAUGUAAGGAUUAUAUUUGUAAUAGUUAAUAAAAUCUUGAAAUCACAUUUGGUGGUCCCCUAGACAAUAACUGUUAUGCAUCUUUCAUUAGAAGAAAUAAAUCUUUUACUCUAAUUAUUGCAAAACAGUCUACGAGACUCAAUACAUAUAUUAAAUUAAGAACAAUGAGAAAAUAUAUGCAAACUAAAAUAAAUGGUACUGGUUGGGUGAAUAUUAGUAUGUCAAACUUACAGAAAUGUAUUUUAAAAAUUCUAUAAAUUAGAAAAAUAGAGUACUUUUUACGGUAGAAUUGCCAUGCUCAGAUUUAUAUAUCAAGAUUGCCCUUGUCCGUUACUUUAGUAGUUGUAGAUCUGUAGAAAAUUCAAAGAUCUUUCAUAGUUUACAACUACAAUAAAAAAAAAUAUGGCAUAGUGUAAAUAUUAGUUGCUUUACAUCAAAAAGUAACACAGGUGAUGAUAGGAGGCGUCCUACUACCAAAAAAAAAAAAAAAUCAAA